GGGAUCGGAAAACGCGGCUUUCCAUCAUUCAUCUGUCCAACCAGCCGCGACACGCGCGAGCGAGUGCGCGCGCCCGACACACAUUUAUCUCCGCGUUCCCCGUUGUAAAGUAUCCCCGCGAGUGGCAAAAUCACCGGCCGGGGUCGAAAGAGUGUGUUCGCGGUCCAUUGUGCACACGGAUAUCCGCGGCGAACGCACGUCAGAUAAAAGAAAAGCGGAAACUACGGCGGUGCCGCGCGCCGCGACGCCCAGCUUCGCUCCAUAUUCCACCGUAUAGACGCGCCGGCUCUCGAUGGAUUAUAAAUUGUCGGUCGUGCGGGAAUUAUGGCCAGUCCGAGAGCGCGGCCGUCGACUUCUCGUGGCUGCGCGAUUUACGACGCUAUUCUCACGGUAACGUUUUAGGUGCUCUUCUGCGUGCGGCUGAAGAGUGCGCGAGGAUGUGAUUCCGCCGCUUUCUCGUACAUCUCUGAGUUCGCGCGGGAGAGCAGAAAGAGGCAUCAAGUUGCGAAGUGCCGUUUUAUUAAUAUUUAAACAAAGGGUCGUUUCCUGGGGAAAUUUACAUGUUACAGCGUCACGCAGAAUUUGAUUUACUUGUAUACGAGAGGAAUAUGAAUUUCCAACCAUAGCGCGCUGGAAAGAGGCGUGACAUUUGGCCGAUCGUAUCGCAGUUUAAACCACCCCUAACGGUCCUCGACGGCGAGCAUGCGACUACAAUUUCGCGGCUUCCUGCAGUCCAUUGCGCGAGCGAAACUUGCGGACGACUGUAACCGGGCGAACUUUUCUCUUAGUCGCGGCUGACUCGUGGAAGCUACGACGCACGUGUAAAACGUACUUGUGUGGAUAACCUUGUCCACAAUACACACGUGUAUAUCAAUUUCCAUGGGCUUUCGUAAAUGCUCCGUGAGAGCCGGGAGUUUCCGACGGUGUCCACAAACUCGCAUGGUCGCGCAGUUCGCGACGAGAGCCCUGAUCUUUCGUUACGGCACUAUAUGCGAAGCUAUGGAAACGCGGGGAUUGGUCGAAGGCUGUUCCUGUGUCGUUGCACAGCGCAAUAAACAAAAGAAUAGCGUACGACGUCGGCGUCCCGGAAAUAUAUGCUUAAAGGAAGAGAGCUAGAGCGUCGCCGUACGAGUAGGAAGAAGAUAGAAAGGGAGAGGAAAAGAAAAAGAGAGAAAGGGGCGUCUCUAUGGGACUCUAGCGUGGUGAAAAUAAUGCGGCUAUAACUUACACGUCCUCCCCUUGGUUUUCGCAUUCAUGACGUGGCCUUGGAUACCGGCGAAAUAGGCUUCUUCUCGCUCUCCCUCGCUGUCACUCUACGUUUCCGCGUAUUUGUUUGCCCCGUCCGCCGAUAUAACCCGAUUUCUUCGUCUCGCAUGAGAUUUGCGGUACGUGCAACACAUUUGCCCAGUGACCCUUGCGUCACCGCGUAUUUUUGCGAAAAUGAGCAGAAGAAGAGGAAAGAUCGAGGAGAGAGGAUUGCGGUUGGACGAGACAGGCGACGGAAUAAGACGAAAGGACGAAAAGGACGGUGUUGCACGAGUCUCCCUACGAAGAGAGAAGAUUGAGUUACGUUGCGAACGCACGAAGCGGGAGCAAAAUAAAUGAGAGCUGCUUGCCGAGAAAUCGACGCGUUGAGACGAGAACAUGUAGUAACGUGAGUGCACACGCACACGUGAGAGAACUUUCCCUCGAUUCAACACGAAGAGAGUAUCGGAAGCACAUUAUGCGACAUGAAGUGCAAAAAUGCGUUUAUUAUAUUGUGACCACGGAAUAAAUAAAAUAUGAUAAUAAAAUAUUUCAAAGUAUCUACAUACAUUGAGAGAAAAAAUAUCUAAAAGUUAGUAAAUAUUUAUUUGA